rnacentral:rRNA from 1 species
CCUACGGGAGGCAGCAGUGGGGGAUAUUGCACAAUGGGGGGAACCCUGAUGCAGCGACGCCGCGUGGGUGAAGAAGCGCCUCGGCGCGUAAAGCCCUGUCAGCAGGGAAGAAAAUGACGGUACCUGAAGAAGAAGCCCCGGCUAACUACGUGCCAGCAGCCGCGGUAAUACGUAGGGGGCAAGCGUUAUCCGGAUUUACUGGGUGUAAAGGGGGCGCAGACGGCGAUGCAAGCCAGGAGUCAAAGCGCGGGGCCCAACCCCGGGGCUGCUGUUGGAAAUGCGAGGCUGGAGUGGAAGAGGGGCAGGCGGAAUGCGCGGGGUAGCGGUGAAAGGCGUAGAUAUCGGGCAGAACGCCGGUGGCGAAGGCAGCAGGCUGGA